AGGACGAACGCUGGCGGCGUGCUUAACACAUGCAAGUCGAGCGGAAAGGCCCUUCGGGGUACUCGAGCGGCGAACGGGUGAGUAACACGUGAGUAAUCUGCCCCUAGCUCUGGGAUAGCUCCGGGAAAACCGGGAUUAAUACCAGAUACGACCACUUUAGACAUCUGUUGUGGUGGAAAGAAUUUCGGCUAGGGAUGAGCUCGCGGCCUAUCAGCUUGUUGGUGAGGUAACGGCUCACCAAGGCGACGACGGGUAGCCGGCCUGAGAGGGCGACCGGCCACACUGGGACUGAGACACGGCCCAGACUCCUACGGGAGGCAGCAGUGGGGAAUAUUGCGCAAUGGGCGAAAGCCUGACGCAGCGACGCCGCGUGGGGGAUGAAGGCCUUCGGGUUGUAAACCCUUUCAGCAGGGACGAAGCGAAAGUGACGGUACCUGCAGAAGAAGCGCCGGCUAACUACGUGCCAGCAGCCGC
rnacentral:rRNA from 1 species